AUUGAACGCUGGCGGCAUGCUUUACACAUGCAAGUCGGACGGCAGCACAGAGAAGCUUGCUUCUUGGGUGGCGAGUGGCGAACGGGUGAGUAAUAUAUCUGAACGUACCGAGUAAUGGGGGAUAACUAAUCGAAAGAUUAGCUAAUACCGCAUAUUCUCUGAGGAGGAAAGCAGGGGACCUUCGGGCCUUGCUUUAUUCGAGCGGCCGAUAUCUGAUUAGCUAGUUGGUGGGGUAAAGGCCUACCAAGGCGACGAUCAGUAGCGGGUCUGAGAGGAUGAUCCGCCACACUGGGACUGAGACACGGCCCAGACUCCUACGGGAGGCAGCAGUAGGGAAUUUUGGACAAUGGGCGCAAGCCUGAUCCAGCCAUGCCGCGUGUCUGAAGAAGGCCUUCGGGUUGUAAAGGACUUUUGUCAGGGAAGAAAAGGCUGUUGCUAAUACCGACAGCUGAUGACGGUACCUGAAGAAUAAGCACCGGCUAACUACGUG
rnacentral:rRNA from 1 species